rnacentral:rRNA from 1 species
UACGAAGGGGGCUAGCGUUGUUCGGAAUCACUGGGCGUAAAGCGCACGUAGGCGGACCUUCAAGUCAGGGGUGAAAUCCCGGGGCUCAACCUCGGAACUGCCUUUGAUACUGUUGGUCUCGAGUCCGGAAGAGGUGGGUGGAAUUCCUAGUGUAGAGGUGAAAUUCGUAGAUAUUAGGAAGAACACCGGUGGCGAAGGCGGCCCACUGGUCCGGUACUGACGCUGAGGUGCGAAAGCGUGGGGAGCAAACAGG